rnacentral:rRNA from 1 species
CCUACGGGAGGCAGCAGUAGGGAAUCUUCCACAAUGGGCGAAAGCCUGAUGGAGCAACGCCGCGUGGGUGAAGAAGGUCUUCGGAUCGUAAAACCCUGUUGUUAGAGAAGAAAGUUCGUGAGAGUAACUGUUCACGUUUCGACGGUAUCUAACCAGAAAGCCACGGCUAACUACGUGCCAGCAGCCGCGGUAAUACGUAGGUGGCAAGCGUUAUCCGGAUUUAUUGGGCGUAAAGGGAACGCAGGCGGUCUUUUAAGUCUGAUGUGAAAGCCUUCGGCUUAACCGGAGUAGUGCAUUGGAAACUGGGAGACUGGAGUGCAGAAGAGGAGAGUGGAACUCCAUGUGUAGCGGUGAAAUGCGUAGAUAUAUGGAAGAACACCAGUGGCGAAAGCGGCUCUCUGGUCUGUAACUGACGCUGAGGUUCGAAAGCGUGGGUAGCAAACAGGAUUAGAUACCCCAGUAGUC